rnacentral:rRNA from 1 species
GACGAACGCUGGCGGGGUGCUUAACACAUGCAAGUCGAACGGAAAGGCCUGCUUUCCCCUGUGGAUUGCGGGUACUCGAGUGGCGAACGGGUGAGUAACACGUGAGUGAUCUGCCCCCAACUUGGGUAUAAGCCUGGGAAACUGGGUCUAAUUCCCGAUAGGACUGCAGGGUGGUGCCUGUGGUGGAAAACGAUUUUCUAGUGGUUGGGGAUGAGCUCGCGGCCUAUCAGCUUGUUGGUGGGGUAAUGGCCUACCAAGGCGGCGACGGGUAGCCGGCCUGGGGGGGUGGACGGCCACAUUGGGACUGAGAUACGGCCCAGAAUCCUACGGGAGGCAGCAGUGGGGAAUAUUACACAAUGGGCGGAAGCCUGAUGCAGCGACGCCGCGUGGGGGAUGACGGCCUUCGGGUUGUAAACUCCUUUCGACCGCGAGGAAGCCACCUGGUUGGAAGGGUGGUGACGGUAGUGGUAGAAGAAGCACCGGCUAACUACGUG